AUGCAAGUCGAACGAAGCAUUUAAGAAGGAAGUUUACGGAUGGAAUUGUUAAAUGACUGAGUGGCGGACGGGUGAGUAACGCGUGGGCGACCUGCCCUGUACAGGGGGAUAACAGUUAGAAAUGACUGCUAAUACCGCAUAAGACCACAGUGCUGCAUGGCACAGUGGUAAAAACUCCGGUGGUACAGGAUGGGCCCGCGUCUGAUUAGCUAGUUGGUGAGGUAACGGCUGCACCAAGGCGACGAUCAGUAGCCGGCUUGAGAGAGUGAACGGCCACAUUGGGACUGAGACACGGCCCAAACUCCUACGGGAGGCAGCAGUGGGGAAUAUUGCACAAUGGGGGGAACCCUGAUGCAGCGACGCCGCGUGAGUGAAGAAGUAUUUCGGUAUGUAAAGCUCUAUCAGCAGGGAAGAAAAUGACGGUACCUGACUAAGAAGCCCCGGCUAACUACGUGCCAGCAGCCGCGGUAAUACGUAGGGGGCAAGCGUUAUCCGGAAUUACUGGGUGUAAAGGGUGCGUAGGUGGUACGGCAAGUCAGAAGUGAAAGCCCGGGGCUUAACCGCGGGACUGCUUUUGAAACUGUCGAACUAGAGUGCAGGAGAGGUAAGCGGAAUUCCUAGUGUAGCGGUGAAAUGCGUAGAUAUUAGGAGGAACAUCAGUGGCGAAGGCGGCUUACUGGACUGAAACUGAC
rnacentral:rRNA from 1 species